rnacentral:rRNA from 1 species
CGGUAAUUCCAGCUCCAAUAGCGUAUACUAAAGUUGUUGCAGUUAAAAAGCUCGUAGUUGGAUUUCUGCGGGGACGGAGCGGCCGGUCGCAACUUGCGACUCGAGCUAGCGCUUUCCCCGCAUCCUGCCGCGAACCGUGCUACCAUUAGUUUGGUGGCGCUGGGGAUCGGCUCGAUUACUUUGAGAAAAAUAGAGUGUUCAAAGCAGGCCACACGCCUUGAAUAAGUUAGCAUGGAAUAAUGACUAAGGACUUCGGUUCUAUUUUGUUGGUGUUCGGGACUGAAGUAAUGAUUGAUAGGGACAGUUGGGGCGGUCUGUAUUCCAAAGCGAGAGGUGAAAUUCUUAGACCUUCGGAAGACAAACAGCUGCGAAAGCGUUCCGCAAGGAUGUUCCCUUUGAUCAAGAACGAAAGUUGGGGGAUCGAAGACGAUCAGAUACCGUCGUAGUCUCAACUAUAAACUAUACCAGCUAGGGAUCGGUCAACGUUUAAUUAUUCGACUUGAUCGGCACCUUAUGAGAAAUCAAAGCAUCUGGGUUCCGGGGGGAGUAUGGUCGCAAGGCUGAAACUUAAAGGAAUUGACGGAAGGGCACCACCAGCCGUGGAGCCUGUGGCUUAAUUUGACUCAACACGGGAAAACUUACCAGGUCCAGACAUAGUAAGGAUUGACAGAUUGAUAGCUCUUUCUUGAUUCUGUGGGUGGUGGUGCAUGGCCGUUCUUAGUUGGUGGAGUGAUUUGUCUGGUUAAUUCCGUUAACGAACGAGACCCCAGCCUGCUAAAUAGCGCGGCUGAGCUUUGCUCGGUGCGAGCUUCUUAGAGGGACUAUGAUGCGCGAUAGCACAUGGAAGUUUGGGGCAAUAACAGGUCUGUGAUGCCCUUAGAUGUUCUGGGCCGCACACGGGCUACACUGGCGCCUGCAACGAGCAUAUCAGCUGGCCCGAGAGGGUCUUGGCUAAUCUUUUGAACCGGCGCCGUGCUUGGGAUUGACCUUUGCAAUUGUUGGUCAUGCAACGAGGAAUGCCUUGUAAACGCGAGUCAUCAGCUCGCAUUGAAUACGUCCCUGCCCUUUGUACACACCGCCC